rnacentral:rRNA from 1 species
CCUACGGGGGGCAGCAGUGGGGAAUAUUGCACAAUGGGGGAAACCCUGAUGCAGCGACGCCGCGUGAGUGAAGACGUAUUUCGGUAUGUAAAGCUCUAUCAGCAGGGAAGAAAAUGACGGUACCUGAUUAAGAAGCCCCGGCUAACUACGUGCCAGCAGCCGCGGGAAUACGUAGGGGGCAAGCGUUAACCCGAUUUACUGGGUGUAAAGGGAGCGUAGACGGCAGCACAAGUCUGGAGUGAAAUGCCGGGGCUUAACCCCCGAACUGCUUUGGAAACUGUGCAGCUAGAGUGCAGGAGAGGUAAGUGGAAUGCCUAGUGUAGCGGUGAAAUGCGUAGAUAUUAGGAGGAACACCAGUGGCGAAGGCGGCUUACUGGACUGUAACUGACGUUGAGGCUCGAAAGCGUGGGGAGCAAACAGGAUUAGAUACCCGAGUAGUC